rnacentral:rRNA from 1 species
UAGGCUUGAAAAUUAAAAAUUCUGGCGGUAUUUUAGUCCAUUCAGAGGAACCUGUCCUGUAAUUGAUAUCCCACGAUGGAUUUUACUGGUCUUAGAAGUUUGUAUAUCGUCGUAGCUUGAAGAUUUUAUAAGAAUUAAUUUUUAAAGAUUUUUAUUAAAUAAUAAAUCAGAUCAAGGUGCAGCCCAUAGAUCAGUAGAGAUGGGUUACAUUAAAUUUAUUUAUGGAUUUUUAUUUUAAAAAUAAGAUGAAAUUGGAUUUGAUAGUAAUAAAAUGGUCUUUCUUUUUUUGAUUUAGGCUCUAAAAUAUGUACAUAUCGCCCGUCGCUUUCAUUUAAAUUGAAAUAAGUCGUAACAAAGUAGGUGUACUGGAAAGUGUAUCUGGAAUGACAAGUUAGAGCUUGGUAUAAGCAUUUUAUUUACAUUAAAGAGUUGACUGUGAAACUCAGUUUAAUGAAAUCUAGUUAUUAUUGUUGUUUUAGUUUUUGAUAGUUUUUAUUGAAAUAUUAUUUUGUUUUAUUAGCUUUAUUGAAAUAAUUGUUUAUAUGAUAGGGGAUUAGUACUGUGAAGGAACUUAACUUAAUUAAUUUAAAGAAGACUUUUUUUGUCGUACCUUGUGUAUCAGGGGUUAAUUAUAUAAUGAUUUAUUUAAAUUAUUCCCGAAAAUUAAAGAGCUAAAAUUAAAUAUAUUUUACUGUGUCAUAAGUAUUUAUAAUUUAAUUUUUGUAAUGAAAUGUUAUUCGUUUUAAUUUAUAUCUGGUUUGUUAAGAAUUUAAUUUAAUUAAGCUUUUUUACUUAGAUGAUUUUUUUUUAAUUUUCUAGGUUUAAUUGUAAUAUCUCUUGGGAUGAGCUAGGAUUUAUAUUACUAUAAGAGAUUUCAAUAGUGAUUUUAUUUAUGAUUAGUAGUUUCUUUUCUUAGGGUUGUUUUAUAACUCAUAAUCUUUUUAUAUUAUUUUUAUUUUCUUUAGGGGUUUUAUUAACGUGAUCUAGAUAACUUAAAUUUAGUUGUUAUAAUGUUAGUACUAGUAUAAUUUUUUUAAAAAUUAAAGGUUUUAGUGAGGUUAAUUUAAGGAAUUCGGCAAAUAUAGUUUUCGCCUGUUUAUUAAAAACAUGUCCUCUUGUCUUUAAUAUGAGGUCUGACCUGCCCACUGAUUAUUGAAGGGCUGCGGUAUUUUGACCGUACAAAGGUAGCAUAAUCAUUAGUUUCUUAAUUAGAAGCUUGUAUGAACGGUUGGACGAGAAACUUUCUGUCUCAGUUUAAUUUGUUUAGAAUUUUAUAUUUAAGUAAAAAAGCUUAAAUUUUUUUGAAAGACGAGAAGACCCUAUAGAGUUUUAUUUAUUUUUGAUUAAAAAUUUGUUGGUAUAUUUAUGUUUUUUGUUUUAUAAUAAAUU